CACUUUGGUACUUGCUGGACAGAAUGCUGCCACGCCGGCUGGCUAGGUCGCUCUGGCUUUAAUUGAUGUGCUACAAACUGUUGUUACUUAAAGCGCAUGAUUUGGACCAGAUGUAAUGGUGCACACCUGCAAUCCCUGACUUGACUGAGUGCCAGAAGUUCAAGACUAGGAUUGACAAUAUAACGAGUUCUAAAGCCAGCCUGAGCAGCCUGAGAAACAAGGAACCUGUCUCAAAAACAAAUAAAAAAUCAAUCAAUAAAUCAAAUCAAUAAAGCAUCAGUGUAAUGAGUUUA